rnacentral:misc_RNA from 1 species
AACGCACAUUGCACCUAUUAGUAUUCUAGUAGGUAUGCCUGUUCGAGCGUCAUUUCAAACCUCAAGCGUCUGCUUGCUGUUGGAGCAUUGCGGCAUCCAUUUUAGGGACCGCAAGCCCUGAAUUAUAGUGGCGGAGCUGCUGUAGACUCUGAGCGUAGUACUACUAUUCGCUUCUGGAAUCUCGGUGGUUGCCUGCCGUAAAACCCACUAUAUUUUCUCUUUGUUUGACCUCGGAUCAGGUAGGAAUACCCGCUGAACUUAA